GACGAACGCUGGCGGCGUGCCUAAUACAUGCAAGUCGAACGCAGUGGGGACGGGUGAGUAAAACAUGGGUAACCUCCCAUCAGAGGGGAUAACAAUUGGAAACAGGUGCUAAACCGAUACGGAUUGAUGGACCCGCGGGGAAUUAGCUAGUUGGUGAGGUAACGGCUAACCAAGGCCACGAUGCAUAGCCGCCCUGAUGGGGUGUUUGGCCACGAUGGGAAGGAGACACGGCCCAGAGUCCUACGGGAGGCAGAAGUAUGUAACAUUCGGCAAUGGACGCAAGUCUGACCUAGCAACGCAGCGGGAGUGAAGAAGGUUUUCGGAUGGUCAAACUCUGGUGUUAGAGAAGCGGUAUCUAACCAGAAAGCAACGGCGAACUCCGUGCCAGCAGCCGCGGUAAUUC
rnacentral:rRNA from 1 species